AUUGAACGCUGGCGGCAGGCCUAACACAUGCAAGUCGAGCGAGCGGCGGACGGGUGAGUAAUGUCUGGGAAACUGCCUGAUGGAGGGGGAUAACUACUGGAAACGGUAGCUAAUACCGCAUACCAUCAGAUGUGCCCAGAUGGGAUUAGCUGGUAGGUGGGGUAACGGCUCACCUAGGCGACGAUCCCUAGCUGGUCUGAGAGGAUGACCAGGCACACUGGAACUGAGACACGGCCCAGACUCCUACGGGAGGCGGCGGAGGGGAAUAGUGCACAAGGGGCGCGAGCCUGAUGCGGCCAUGCCGCGUGUGGGAAGAAGGCAUGCGGGUUUGAAAGCACUUUCAGCGGGGAGGCGUUACCCGCAGAAGAAGCACCGGCUAACUCCGUGCCAGCAGCCGCGGUAAUUC
rnacentral:rRNA from 1 species